rnacentral:rRNA from 1 species
AUUGAACGCUGGCGGCAUGCUUUACACAUGCAAGUCGAACGGUAACAGGCCGCAAGGUGCUGACGAGUGGCGCACGGGUGAGUAAUGCAUCGGAACGUGCCCAGUCGUGGGGGAUAACUACUCGAAAGAGUAGCUAAUACCGCAUACGAUCUAUGGAUGAAAGCGGGGGACCGUAAGGCCUCGCGCGAUUGGAGCUGCCGAUGUCAGAUUAGGUAGUUGGUGGUGUAAAGGCUGACCAAGCCAACGAUCUGUAGCUGGUCUUAGAGGACAACCAGCCACACUGGGACUGAGACACGGCCCAGACUCCUACGGGAGGCAGCAGUGGGGACUUUUGGACAAUGGACGCAAGCCUGAUCCAGCAAUGCCGCGUGCAGGACGAAGGCCUUCGGGUUGUAGACUGCUUUUGUACGGAACGAAACGGCUCUGGUUAAUACCCGGGGCUAAUGACGGUACCGAAAGAAUAAGCACCGGCUAACUACGUG